AACCUUUACAAUGCACGAAAGUGUGAUAAGGGAACCCCAAGUGCUCAUGUUUUACAUGGGCUUUUGCCAAGUGUAAAAAGCUUGGAGAAUAAGUGGUGGGUAAGACUGGUGCCAGCAGCCGCGGUAACACCAGCGCCACGAGUGGGAACCAUGUUUAUUUGGCCUAAAGCGUCCGUAGCUGGCUUAGUAAGUCCUCUGUGAAAGUGUCAAGCUCAACUUGAUAAAAUACAGAGGAAACUACUAAACUAGAGACCGGGAGGAGUCAGGGGAAUUCUAUGGGGAGCGGUAAAAUGCUAUAAUCCUUAGAGGACCACCUGUGGCGAAGGCGCCUGACUAGAACGGAUCUGACAGUGAGGGACGAAAGCUAGGGGAGCGAUCCGGAUUAGAUACCCGAGUAGUCCUAGCCGUAAACGCUGUGAGCAAGGCGUUGCAUAUUCUAUAGGGAUGUGCAGUGUCGAAACGAAGGUGUUAAGCUCACCGCCUGGGAAGUAUGGUCGCAAGACUGAAACUUAAAGGAAUUGGC
rnacentral:rRNA from 1 species